rnacentral:lncRNA from 1 species
UAAGAAAGCAGCAGCUUUUUCUAGACGGCUCUUCCUCAUGAUUUGCAUUUUAGCCAGAGGCGACCAGUUAUAAAAAAAACAUGAUGGAAAGAUGGUAAGAAGCCAAUUAGAUGGAUGGAUGGCUGACUGACAGCUCUCUGGUAUUACGACUCCAGAUUUCAGACUACAUAGCCUGGCAGUUUUCUACAAGAACCAACUUUUUGCAGAAGGUCAUACAUAUGCUAUUGGAGAGUUCACAGCUAGCCCCUCACUACUCAGAUUGUGGGUGUUAUUGCCAGACUGCGGAGAUGCACAAGAAUUGACUUGAGAAGCAAGGAGAUUAUUCAUGCUCCUGCACACUCUGUUAUCUCUGGGAGCUCUUAAUCAAUGCAGGGUGAGAGCCAGUUAGCGUGACUGAGGUUAGGGUAAACGGGCUGUUCAGGGAAAGAUAAAUUAAAAUGUGAUUAUUAUUCAAAUUGGAAUAUAGAGAACAUAAUCCAUGAUGGAAGAGAAGGAGAAUAAUAGAAAUAAAUAAAAAUUUACCUACUGAAUCACUUGCUGUAUUGAAUCUAGUCCUUGAAAUUCCAAAGACAUUAUAAUAUGCUAUGACUAAAGGGAAUGAUUUGGGAGAUUUAUACUCUAUCUUUAUUG